rnacentral:rRNA from 1 species
CAACGUGGGAAACCUACCUCUUAGCAGGGGAUAACAUUUGGAAACAGAUGCUAAUACCGUAUAACAAUGACAACCGCAUGGUUGUUAUUUAAAAGAUGGUUCUGCUAUCACUAAGAGAUGGUCCCGCGGUGCAUUAGCUAGUUGGUAAGGUAAUGGCUUACCAAGGCGAUGAUGCAUAGCCGAGUUGAGAGACUGAUCGGCCACAAUGGGACUGAGACACGGCCCAUACUCCUACGGGAGGCAGCAG